rnacentral:rRNA from 1 species
AUGCAAGUCGAGCGGGGGAAGGUAGCUUGCUACCGGACCUAGCGGCGGACGGGUGAGUAAUGCUUAGGAAUCUGCCUAUUAGUGGGGGACAACAUCUCGAAAGGGAUGCUAAUACCGCAUACGUCCUACGGGAGAAAGCAGGGGAUCUUCGGACCUUGCGCUAAUAGAUGAGCCUAAGUCGGAUUAGCUAGUUGGUGGGGUAAAGGCCUACCAAGGCGACGAUCUGUAGCGGGUCUGAGAGGAUGAUCCGCCACACUGGGACUGAGACGCGGCCCAGACUCCUACGGGAGGCAGCAGUGGGGAAUAUUGGACAAUGGGGGGAACCCUGAUCCAGCCAUGCCGCGUGUGUGAAGAAGGCCUUAUGGUUGUAAAGCACUUUAAGCGAGGAGGAGGCUACUUUAGUUAAUACCUAGAGAUAGUGGACGUUACUCGCAGAAUAAGCACCGGCUAACUCUGUGCCAGCAGCCGCGGUAAUACAGAGGGUGCGAGCGUUAAUCGGAUUUACUGGGCGUAAAGCGUGCGUAGGCGGCUUAUUAAGUCGGAUGUGAAAUCCCCGAGCUUAACUUGGGAAUUGCAUUCGAUACUGGUGAGCUAGAGUAUGGGAGA